AACCUAACUGCUUAUCAGUACCAGGUGAUCAGGAGCUCAGAAAGUCGUGACGAGACCAAGUACGGUACAUGCGAUUUUCCACAUGAUCAUGUUUGAUUUUUUUUCGCAGGAUAAGUCUGCUCCGCCCGUGUGCGCGCUACCGAAUCAGAUGGCGAAAGCCGCUGUUGGUUUGAUUUGAUCGGGGGAGUAGACUUUCCCAUAGGUCCAAUUUUCAGGCUUUUGCGUUC
rnacentral:lncRNA from 1 species